rnacentral:rRNA from 1 species
GAUGAACGCUGGCGGCGUGCCUAAUACAUGCAAGUCGAGCGAACAGACGAGGAGCUUGCUCCUCUGACGUUAGCGGCGGACGGGUGAGUAACACGUGGAUAACCUACCUAUAAGACUGGGAUAACUUCGGGAAACCGGAGCUAAUACCGGAUAAUAUAUUGAACCGCAUGGUUCAAUAGUGAAAGACGGUUUUGCUGUCACUUAUCGAUGGAUCCGCGCCGCAUUAGCUAGUUGGUAAGGUAACGGCUUAUCAAGGCAACGAUGCGUAGCCGACCUGAGAGGGUGAUCGCCGACACUGGAGCGGGGACACGGUCAAGACUCCUACGGGAGGCAGCAGUAGGGAAUCUUCCGCAAUGGGCGAAAGCUUGACGGAGCAACGCCGCGUGAGUGAUGAAGGUCUUCGGAUCGUAAAACUCUGUUAUUAGGGAAGAACAAAUGUGUAAGUAACUAUGCACGUCUUGACGGUACCUAAUCAGAAAGCCACGGCUAACUACGUG